rnacentral:rRNA from 1 species
CGUUAUUGGUCUUUUCUCUUUGCUAUACUUUUGUGACUACCUAUAACUGUUGCUUCGGCGGGUAGGGUCUCCGCGACCCUCCCGGCCUCCCGCCUCCGGGCGGGUCGGCGCCCGCCGGAGGAUAACCAAACUCUGAUUUAACGACGUUUCUUCUGAGUGGUACAAGCAAAUAAUCAAAACUUUUAACAACGGAUCUCUUGGUUCUGGCAUCGAUGAAGAACGCAGCGAAAUGCGAUAAGUAAUGUGAAUUGCAGAAUUCAGUGAAUCAUCGAAUCUUUGAACGCACAUUGCGCCCGCCAGCAUUCUGGCGGGCAUGCCUGUUCGAGCGUCAUUUCAACCCUCAAGCUCUGCUUGGUGUUGGGGCCCUACAGCUGAUGUAGGCCCUCAAAGGUAGUGGCGGACCCUCUCGGAGCCUCCUUUGCGUAGUAACUUUACGUCUCGCACUGGGAUCCGGAGGGACUCUUGCCGUAAAACCCCCAAUUUUCCAAAGGUUGACCUCGGAUCAGGUAGGAAUACCCGCUGAACUUAAGCAUAUCAAUAAGCGGAGAAAAUAU